rnacentral:rRNA from 1 species
GACGAACGCUGGCGGCGUGCUUAACACAUGCAAGUCGAACGGUGAACCUCUUCGGAGGGGAUCAGUGGCGAACGGGUGAGUAACACGUGGGCAACCUGCCCCCGGCUCUGGGAUAACUCCAAGAAAUUGGGGCUAAUACCGGAUGUUCACCGCUUCCCGCCUGGGUGGUGGUGGAAAGGGUUUCCGGCUGGGGAUGGGCCCGCGGCCUAUCAGCUUGUUGGUGGGAUAGUGGCAUACCAAGGCGACGACGGGUAGGCGGCCUGAGAGGGUGACCGGCCACACGGGGACUGAGAGACGGCCCAGACUCCUACGGGAGGCAGCAGUGGGGAAUAUUGCGCAAUGGGCGGAAGCCGGAGGCAGCGACGCCGCGUGGGGGAUGACGGCCUUCGGGUUGUAAACCGCUGUCAGCAGGGACGAAGCGCAAGUGACGGUACCUGCAGAAGAAGCACCGGCCAACUACGUG